GCCCUCGUAGCUCAUGUGGAUAGAGCGCAGGAUUCCUAAUCCUGAGGUAGCAGGUUCGAGUCCUGCCGGGGGCGCCA
rnacentral:tRNA from 1 species